UAACGUGUGGGCAACCUGCCCUAUACUGGGGAAUAAUCACUGGAAACGGUGACUAAUACCGCAUGUCAUUACGGAAGGGCAUCCUUCUGUAAGAAAAGGAGUAAUUCGGUAUAGGAUGGGCCCGCAUCUGAUUAGCUAGUUGGUGAGAUAACAGCCCACCAAGGCGACGAUCAGUAGCCGACCUGAGAGGGUGAUCGGCCACAUUGGGACUGAGACACGGCCCAA
rnacentral:rRNA from 1 species